rfam:Acidimicrobium ferrooxidans DSM 10331, complete genome.
GGAGGUGGCCGGGCGGCCGCGGGUGACCUCGGUCACCUGAGGAAGGUCGGGGCUCCAGAGGGCAGGGUGCUCGCGAGAGGCGAGUCGGGGUGACCCGCAGGACAGUGCAACAGAGAGCAGACCGCCGAUGGAUCGACGAUCGAUCACAGGCAAGGGUGAAACGGUGCGGUAAGAGCGCACCAGCGACUUCGGCGACGAGGUCGGCUUGGCAAACCCCACCCGGAGCAAGGCCGCAGUGGAGCAGGGUGGCCCGCCCGUCACGCUCCUGGUAGGCCGCAGAGAUGGAUGGCCGCACAGGCGGCCGUUUGGGCCGCUGGACAGAACCCCGCCUAUAGGCCACCUCCCGCC